AGCAGGGUAGAGCAGCGGCAGCUCACCGGGCCCAUAACCCGGCAGUCGAGGGUUCGAGUCCUUCUCCUGCAA
rnacentral:tRNA from 1 species